GUUGUAUGGUUAAGUGACUAAGCGUACACGGUGGAUGCCUUGGCAGUCAGAGGCGAUGAAAGACGUAGUAACUUGCGAUAAGCCCAGAUUAGGUAGUAACAACCAUUUGAGUCUGGGAUUUCUGAAUGGGGAAACCCACKURCAUAAGYAMGUAUCMUUAMCUGAAUACAUAGGKUAAKGAGGCGAACCGGGGGAACUGAAACAUCUAAGUACCCCGAGGAAAAGAAAUCAACCGAGAUUCCGAAAGUAGCGGCGAGCGAAAUUGGACUAGCCCUUAAGCUUUACACGCGUUAGACGAACGGUCUGGAAAGUCCGACGAUACAGGGUGAUAGUCCCGUAGUUGACGACGUGUGUUCAGUGAAAUCGAGUAGGGCGGGACACGUGAUAUCCUGUCUGAAUAUGGGGGGACCAUCCUCCAAGGCUAAAUACUACUGACUGACCGAUAGUGAACCAGUACCGUGAGGGAAAGGCGAAAAGAACCCCUGUGAGGGGAGUGAAAUAGAACCUGAAACCGUGUACGUACAAGCAGUAGGAGCAGGCUUGUCCUGUGACUGCGUACCUUUUGUAUAAUGGGUCAGCGACUUAUAUUCAGUGGCAAGGUUAACCAUCUAGGGGAGCCGUAGGGAAACCGAGUCUUAACUGGGCGUUCAGUCUCUGGAUAUAGACCCGAAACCAGGUGAUCUAGCCAUGGGCAGGUUGAAGGUUGAGUAACAUCAACUGGAGGACCGAACCGACUAAUGUUGAAAAAUUAGCGGAUGACUUGUGGCUAGGGGUGAAAGGCCAAUCAAACCUGGAGAUAGCUGGUUCUCCCCGAAAGCUAUUUAGGUAGCGCCUCGGACGAAUACUACUGGGGGUAGAGCACUGUUAAGGCUAGGGGGUCAUCCCGACUUACCAACCCUUUGCAAACUCCGAAUACCAGUAAGUACUAUCCGGGAGACACACGGCGGGUGCUAACGUCCGUCGUGGAGAGGGAAACAACCCAGACCGCCAGCUAAGGUCCCAAAUUACUACUAAGUGGGAAACGAUGUGGGAAGGCUCAGACAGCCAGGAUGUUGGCUUAGAAGCAGCCAUCAUUUAAAGAAAGCGUAAUAGCUCACUGGUCGAGUCGGCCUGCGCGGAAGAUGUAACGGGGCUAAGUAGUAAACCGAAGCUGCGGCAAURURCUUUUGYAYAUUGGGUAGGGGAGCGUUCUGUAAGCGGUUGAAGGUGUGUGGUAACGCAUGCUGGACGUAUCAGAAGUGCGAAUGCUGACAUGAGUAACGAUAAAGGGGGUGAAAAACCUCCUCGCCGGAAGACCAAGGGUUCCUGUCCAACGUUAAUCGGGGCAGGGUAAGUCGACCCCUAAGGCGAGGCCGAAAGGCGUAGUCGAUGGGAAACGGGUUAAUAUUCCCGUACUUCUUACAAUUGCGAUGGGGGGACGGAGAAGGCUAGGUGGGCCUGGCGACGGUUGUCCAGGUUCAAGUGCGUAGGCUUAAGAGUUAGGUAAAUCCGGCUCUUUUUAAGGCUGAGACACGACGUCGAGCUACUACGGUAGUGAAGUCAUUGAUGCCAUGCUUCCAGGAAAAGCCUCUAAGCUUCAGAUUGUAAGGAAUCGUACCCCAAACCGACACAGGUGGUCGGGUAGAGAAUACCAAGGCGCUUGAGAGAACUCGGGUGAAGGAACUAGGCAAAAUGGUACCGUAACUUCGGGAGAAGGUACGCUCUYGAYGGUGAAGUCCCUCGCGGAUGGAGCURWYGAGAGUCGCAGAUACCAGGUGGCUGCAACUGUUUAUUAAAAACACAGCACUGUGCAAAAUCGUAAGAUGACGUAUACGGUGUGACGCCUGCCCGGUGCCGGAAGGUUAAUUGAUGGGGUUAGACUUCGGUCGAAGCUCUUGAUCGAAGCCCCGGUAAACGGCGGCCGUAACUAUAACGGUCCUAAGGUAGCGAAAUUCCUUGUCGGGUAAGUUCCGACCUGCACGAAUGGCGUAAUGAUGGCCACGCUGUCUCCACCCGAGACUCAGUGAAAUUGAAAUCGCUGUGAAGAUGCAGUGUACCCGCGGCUAGACGGAAAGACCCCGUGAACCUUUACUACAGCUUGGCACUGAACAUUGACCCUACAUGUGUAGGAUAGGUGGGAGGCUUUGAAGCACGUACGCCAGUAUGUGUGGAGCCGUCCUUGAAAUACCACCCUUGUAGUGUUGAUGUUCUAACGUCGACCCCUUAUCGGGGUUGCGGACAGUGCCUGGUGGGUAGUUUGACUGGGGCGGUCUCCUCCCAAAGAGUAACGGAGGAGCACGAAGGUGGGCUAAUCACGGUUGGACAUCGUGAGGUUAGUGCAAUGGCAUAAGCCCGCUUGACUGCGAGAAUGACAAUUCGAGCAGGUGCGAAAGCAGGUCAUAGUGAUCCGGUGGUUCUGAAUGGAAGGGCCAUCGCUCAACGGAUAAAAGGUACUCCGGGGAUAACAGGCUGAUACCGCCCAAGAGUUCAUAUCGACGGCGGUGUUUGGCACCUCGAUGUCGGCUCAUCACAUCCUGGGGCUGAAGUCGGUCCCAAGGGUAUGGCUGUUCGCCAUUUAAAGUGGUACGCGAGCUGGGUUUAGAACGUCGUGAGACAGUUCGGUCCCUAUCUGCCGUGGGCGUUGGAAGAUUGAAGGGGGCUGCUCCUAGUACGAGAGGACCGGAGGUUGUCGGAGACUACGACGUUGAUAGGUCAGGUGUGUAAGUGCUGUGAGGCAUUGAGCUAACUGAUACUAAUUGCCCGUGAGGCUUAACCAUACAACACCCAAGGGGUUU
rnacentral:rRNA from 1 species